UAUUGUCUGUACGCCUCCUCCCGGGCCAAGCUUCCUAGCAGGCAGGCCCUGGCCGCGCCUGCAGCCUAAACAGUGCCCGGGUCCGCGGAAAUGCCUGGAUGCCGCGCUCUGCUUGCAAAAGAGAAACAUGAUUUUUUUUGUUUAGUAAGAAAAUACAGCAAGAGAGAUGGAUUUGGUUUAGAGAUAAGCUGCCCUGGAUUUGUCAACCUUCAGCCAGCACAGAAUAUUACAUCCAUCAUCUUACAGGAGGAGGCUGGGAAGAGAGUAAGAGCUAAGGAAAAGUAUGCCGUCAAAGAAGAUUAAAAACUACAAAAGUGCCCACACUGGCUUUCACCUUUAUCACAGCGUAGACCCCUGCAACAGCCUCAUCCAUUCAGCAGUUUGGACUGAGUCCUACUCCAGGUCAUGAAGCAGGCUUGUGCUGGUGGCCAGAGAUGAAGAAAAUGUGGUCUGCCUUCGAGGAGCUCCCAGACUGAGAAAAAGAUGAGAACUUGUGGCACAACUGUCACUGCAGUCCAAAUCCCUUUCUUCCCCAGUAAUGGAGUUACUGUUUUAACUGAUGGCCUUGCUGGACUAUAUUUACCCAGUUUACCUGGGGUUUCCAAGUUCUUGACAAAAAUAUGUGAAGGAAGUGACAUGGUCACUUCCAGGUCUGGGGCAUCAGGCCCACCUCCCAAUACCCCAUCUCUAAAAAAUAUCUGGGCAUUGUGGGGGGCACGUGGUAGUCCCAGCUACUAGGAAGGAUGAGGCAAGAGAAUUGCUUGAGCCCAAGAGUUUGAGGUUGCUGUGAGCUAUGACAACAGGGCCCUCUAUCAAGGGCAACCAAGUGAGACUGUCUAAAAACAACAACAAAAAAUAUCUAGAAUAGAGAUGGAAUAAAGAGAAUUGAGUGCAAAUUUGGAUGAAACAGGAUUGGCCAUGAGUUGAUAAUUAUCAAUGCUGAGUGAUGGUUAUGUAGAGUUCAGUCUGUAUAACCAGUUGUACAUAAUAAAAAAGUUUUUUAAAGGGAAAAUUAAUAAAAAUAAAGUUGUUCAGAAAAAAAUUAAUUCCUAAGUUCAGAUAUUGUCAGCCUACAAACCUAUCUAUUAUAAAGUUCCCCAUUAGUCUUUCACUAAAUGGUUUUAACAGUCAUUGAUGAUCAGUGCUCAUCAUAUCCAUUAUUUCAUUAGUGCAAACUUACCACAUUCUAACUUUGUCAUUCCUUGCAUUAGUAUCUAUUGCUGCACAACAAAAUUUAGUAGUUUAAAACAACAAAGCAUUUAUUAUCUCACAUUCAGGAAUCUGUGAGUGGCUUAGCCAAGGAGUUUUGGUUCAGUCUCUCAUGACAUUGCAAUCAAUCUGCUGACUGGGGCUGCAGGCAUCCGGCCUCAAGCUUGUCAGGCUUCAGUUCUCCACUGCCUGACUCUUAGUUCCUCAUCUAAUCUCUUCCUCAUCUAAUGAGCUUCUCCAUAUACUACCUGAGUAUCUUAUAAUAUGGGGCUGCCUCUGAGUGAGCUAUGGGGUGGGAAUAGAGAACAAGAUGGAAGCCAAUUAUAACCUAAGCUCAAGUGACACACCAUCACUUCUGCUAUGUGCUAUUGGUCACACCAUCUAACCCUGAUGUAACGUGGGACAGGGCAGGGUGUGAAUACCAGGAAGUGGGCUGAGGGCCAUCAGUCUUUUGUAUGUAUUAGUUAGAAAUCAAUGAUGAAAAACUUGCCUUAAUCAACUACACUGUUACCCUGAAACAUAGUUUGUAUAACAGAGGCAAAAUAAUUAUUUUCUCAGGUAACUUUUGGUUUUGCUUUUGUUUGUUUAUUUUUGUUAUUCAAAUUGUUCCAUCUUUGAUUCAGGGGAAGUUCUUCCUGUCAGCUGCUGUGUCUUUUUGGCACAAUCCCAGUUGUCUAUGAUGGCUUCCUUGUUUUCUCAUGUGACAGGAUUUUCCAGGUUCAUCUUGUACAUUUUUUUUUCUUUUUUUGUUCCAGCCAUUUCUCCAAAGAGUUCUGGUUCCUUUUAGUUUUUGUUUAUCCUUCCAAUUUUAUUCCUUUUAAAAAAUUAUGUAAAGGGCAGUGCCUAUGGCUCAGGGGUAGGGCGCCAGCCCCAUAUACCACUGGUGGUGGGUUGGAAACUGGCCCCAGCCAAACUGCAACAAAAAAAUAGCCGACCAUUGUGGCAGGCGCCUGUAGUCCCAGCUACUCGGGAGGCUGAGGCAAGAGAAUCACCUAAACCAAUGGUUCUCAACCUUCCUGAUGGACGCAUUGUUAUAAAUGGAAAAAAUGGGUCUUGACCCACAAGUUGAGAACCGCUGACUUAAGACCAAGAGCUGGAUGUUGCUGUGAGCCAUGACACCACAGCACUCUACUGAGGGUGACAAAGUGAGACUCUGUCUCUAAAAAAUAAAAAUAAAAAUAAAAAAUUUGUAAGCAAAUAUGUGUAU